GGACUACCAGGGUAUCUAAUCCCGUUCGCUACCCUAGCUUUCGCGUCUCAGCGUCAGUAAACGUCCAGGACCUCGCUUUCGCCACGGGCGUUCCUUCCGAUCUCAACGCAUUUCACCGCUCCACCGGAAGUUCCAGGUCCCCCUACGUUCCUCCAGACGGGUCGUUUCGGCGCCCGUUCCCCGGUUGAGCCGGGGGCUUUCAGCAACCGACGUUCCCAUCCGCCUACACGCGCUUUAAGCCCAGUGAUUCCGAAUAACGUUCGCACGGUUCGUCUUACCGCGGCGGCUGGCAC
rnacentral:rRNA from 1 species